GCUGCGGGCGGGGGCAGCGGACAGCGGAGACCCCCGGUCCGUGCGGAACGGCUCCAAACUCUGGAAACAGCGAGUGCCACUGGAGUUCCUCUUCACUAAAAUUACAGCAUGGGGGUGUCACAGCACGGGAGACAUCACAACUUCAGCCAGAAUGACCAGCAGCGAAUAAAAAGUAGUGAUUUUUCAGUUA